AGGAUGAACGCUGGCGGUGUGCCUAAUACAUGCAAGUCGUACGGAAAGGCCCUUCGGGGUACUCGAGUGGCGGACGGCUGAGUAACGCGUGGGAACGUACCCUAAAGUGAGGAAUAACUGCCCGAAAGGGUGGCUAAUGCCGCAUAUGCUCUUCGGAGUAAAGCUUCGGCGCUUUGGGAGCGGCCCGCGUCCGAUUAGCUUGUUGGUAAGGUAAUGGCUUACCAAGGCGACGAUCGGUAGCUGGUCUGAGAGGAUGAUCAGCCAGACCGGGACUGAGAACGGCCCAGACUCCUACGGGAGGCAGCAGUAGGGAAUUUUCCACAAUGGGC
rnacentral:rRNA from 1 species